rnacentral:lncRNA from 1 species
UUCUAUAGGAAAACAGACUGAGGAAGCUGUGACAAAACUCUAUCACAAAGCCAACUGAUCCACUUCAGAGAUCUCAAGUGGUGGGGAGUACGGUUUCAGUAAUCUUCUGAUGUGAUGAUUCAAAGAUCUCCACAUGCACUGACUUUCCAAGCCUGCUGAUGUAACAGACUUUUUGCUAUGUGAACAAAACAGUUGAUAUUUCAUCAUGGAAUUAGAGGAGAAGGAACACAGUCUGGCAGCUUGCUUCAGUUGCAGGAGGUGCUCUAGCUUUCCUGAACCUGGAGCUUCAGCCCUGAUGAGAAGUGCUUGCACUAUUUGUUCAGACCUCUUCUAUGGGCAAGUUGUGUCAAGUUUUGCAGCCUUGUGCUUCAAAUAAUGUAAUGGGUUGAUGGUUUCAUUGCAAGAUUUUGAAUGCAAACUCAGGGG